rnacentral:tRNA from 1 species
GGAGGGACGGCCGAGCGGUUUAAGGCACCGGUCUUGAAAACCGGCGUGGGGCAAGUUCACCGUGGGUUCGAAUCUCACUCCAUCCGCC